CAGCCGCCGCGGUAAUACGUAGGUGGCAAGCGUUAUCCGGAAUUAUUGGGCGUAAAGCGCGCGCAGGCGGUUUCUUAAGUCUGAUGUGAAAGCCCACGGCUCAACCGUGGAGGGUCAUUGGAAACUGGGGAACUUGAGUGCAGAAGAGAAAAGCGGAAUUCCACGUGUAGCGGUGAAAUGCGUAGAGAUGUGGAGGAACACCAGUGGCGAAGGCGGCUUUUUGGUCUGUAACUGACGCUGAGGCGCGAAAGCGUGGGGAGCAAACAGGAUUAGAGACCCCCGUAGUCCCUGUCUCUUAUAC
rnacentral:rRNA from 1 species